rnacentral:rRNA from 1 species
GCGCACCAGUCGCGAAACCUCCGCAAUACACGAAAGUGUGGCGGGGCCAUCCCGAGUGCCGUCCGCUGAGGACGGCUUUUCCCCAGUGUACACAGCUGGGGGAAUAAGGAGAGGGCAAGCCUGGUGUCAGCCGCCGCGGUAAUACCAGCUCUCCGAGUGGUGGGGACGCUUAUUGGGCCUAAAGCAUCCGUAGCCGGCUGGGCAAGUCCUCCGUUAAAUCCAACGAUUCAAUCGUUGGGCUGCGGGGGAUACUGUCCAGCUUGGGGGCGGGAGAGGCCGACGGUAUUCCCGGGGUAGGGGUGAAAUCCUAUAAUCCCGGGAGGACCACCAGUGGCGAAGGCUGUCGGCUAGAACGCGCCCGACGGUGAGGGAUGAAAGCUGGGGGAGCGAACCGGAUUAGAUACCCCUGUAGU